rnacentral:tRNA from 1 species
GGCACAGUGGCACAGUGGGUAGCGCUUCUGCCUCACAGCAAGAUGGCCUGGGUUCGAUUCCCGGCUGGGGCG